GACGAACGCUGGCGGCGUGCUUAACACAUGCAAGUCGAACGAAGAGCGACGGAAGCUUGCUUCUAUCAAUCUUAGUGGCGCACGGGUGAGUAACGCGUAAUCAACCUGCCCUUCAGAGGGGGACAACAGUUGGAAACGACUGCUAAUACCGCAUACGAUCUAACCUCGGCAUCGAGGAUAGAUGAAAGGUGGCCUCUACAUGUAAGCUAUCACUGAAGGAGGGGAUUGCGUCUGAUUAGCUAGUUGGAGGGGUAACGGCCCACCAAGGCGAUGAUCAGUAGCCGGUCUGAGAGGAUGAACGGCCACAUUGGGACUGGGACACGGCCCAGACUCCUACGGGAGGCAGCAGUGGGGAAUCUUCCGCAAUGGACGAAAGUCUGACGGAGCAACGCCGCGUGAGUGAUGACGGCCUUCGGGUUGUAAAGCUCUGUUAAUCGGUACGAAAGGCCUUCUUGCGAAUAGUGAGAAGGAUUGACGGUACCGGAAUAGAAAGCCACGGCUAACUACGUG
rnacentral:rRNA from 1 species